rnacentral:rRNA from 1 species
CGGUCGCGUAACACGUGGGCAACCUGCCCAGAGCGGGGACAACACGCCGAAAGGUGUGCUAAUACCGCAUGUGAACCGCUACGGGCAUCCGUGGUGGUUCAAAGGACUUCGGUUCACUCUGGGAUGGGCCCGCGGCCUAUCAGCUAGUUGGUGGGGUAACGGCCUACCAAGGCUUCGACGGGUAGCUGGUCUGAGAGGACGAUCAGCCGGAUUGGGACUGAGAUACGGCCCAG